rnacentral:lncRNA from 1 species
UAAGCUAGAAUGUCAACUUACACGAGGAAAACAUUCUUCUGAAUGACGUUUCAUUGAAAGUGAACGCGUUGACUUGGCUUUGAGAGAUCUUGUAACCUGUUUUACACAUUUCCAAAGCCGGAGCAAACAAUUCGGCCCAUUUCAGUUUCCCGAAACUACUCCAUGCUUCCCAAUAGCCAGCCAUCUCUCCGGGAACUCCACUUGCAAGAGCACCUAAAGAUGCAACAGAGGGUUGUUAUCACCAAAGCAACUAUCGGAAAUUGGACUGCAAAACUAAAUGUUAGUCAGGACCUUUAUCGUUGCCCAUUUCACAGAAUGACCACAUUUUGGCCCAGUUCAUGAGGAAAGGUAGCGCGGCGCGGAUUCGACUGAAGAUGAACCCACGUGUGGGUCCGAAAUGAUCAUCAUCUAAAACAAUCUAAAAAAUCAGGACCGAAGACUAAAAAGUAAGUUUACCUAUAAUUGUGAUCAUGUUUUGCAUGAGAGUGUAAAAAUAUAGAUAUGUACGACUCAAUGAGACAUCAUGUACACGCUAAUACAUUGUUUUAAAUAUCAUUGAAUUCAAAUCAUUAUUAUUUAUAUCCUUGUGUCUCUGCUAAGGUGCAAGGAUUUGAAAAUCUCCUCUGAUUCCUAAACUACAAGUGUCGUUUAAAAUAUUGAUAAGACCUAUCUAGAAAAUAUGGUCGGUGAAUCCUACAAUUUGUUAGAGGAAGCUUGUUUACAUACCACUUCUUGACUUUCCGGUUUGAUUUUCGAACAUAGUUUAUUAGAGAGGAGAGGAGCAACCCUCUUGCGUCGAGAAUAGAGAUAUUCCGUGUUUCUCUGCUGUAAAUGAGCAUUUGGAAACCCCUCCGAUUCCAGUGCUAUGCGCGUUGUAGAUCCCGUUGCAUAACAUUGAUGCAAUCGCAGCAUCUACAGCAGACCCGUUCUUCUCCAGGAUAUCCCUGAAAAAUUGAAAAAAAAAAUUAAUUAAUUAAUAAUUAAUCAAUAUCAAUGCAGAGAUGUUAUAUUUGCGACUUUCGAAGAAAAAAAA